rnacentral:rRNA from 1 species
AUUGAACGCUGGCGGUAUGCUUAACACAUGCAAGUCGAACGGUAGCAGGCCUUCGGGCGCUGACGAGUGGCGGACGGGUGAGUAACGCGUAGGAAUCUGCCUCAUAGUGGGGGACAACGUGGGGAAACUCACGCUAAUACCGCAUACGCCCUACGGGGGAAAGCGGGGGCUCUUCGGACCUCGCGCUAUGAGAUGAGCCUGCGUUAGAUUAGCUAGUUGGUAGGGUAAAAGCCUACCAAGGCGACGAUCUAUAGCUGGUCUGAGAGGACGAUCAGCCACACUGGGACUGAGACACGGCCCAGACUCCUACGGGAGGCAGCAGUGGGGAAUAUUGGACAAUGGGCACAAGCCUGAUCCAGCAAUACCGCGUGUGUGAAGAAGGCCCUAGGGUUGUAAAGCACUUUCAAUUGGGAGGAAAACCUGCCGGUCAAUACCCGGCAGCUUGACAUUACCUUUAGAAGAAGCACCGGCUAACUCCGUGCCAGCAGCCGCCGUAACAC